AAGCAUGUGAAAUGCAAAGUAUGGCCAGAGAGAAAUCUACUUUCCUGAGACAAAACGCAGAAUGUUUGAUCUGCAGCAGAGUAGUCCUGAUCAUGACUAGCAUGAAAUAACCUAUUCUCAGAUGGGUUAUGUACUUUUCCUAAUAAUUAA